rnacentral:lncRNA from 1 species
UUGAAUUUUAGGUUUCUUGAACGGAUCUAUGCGGUUUUGGAGUUAGGGUUAGAAUUUGACAAAAUUGGUUGCAGAUUAGUGGAAAGGAGACCAAGACGGUUCUAAUGGUGUGUUUGAUUUUGAUUUUUGGUGGCCACGCCGCCAGAAGCAAUUCCCAGCGCGGAGGUCCACAGUGACUUUGUUCGCCUGAGACUGGAGCUCAGUUGGUUCAUACCUGGCGCGUCGUUUUCAUUUAAUUUCAAAUUUGAACAUUGAUUACAUGUGAUGAAUUACAAUGAACCUUCGUUGUGUUGAUGUUGGGCCUCCAUGGUAGUGGGCUUAACCACCGUACUCACCAUCAUCCAUGUUAUGCUGAU